rnacentral:rRNA from 1 species
UACGUAGGUGGCAAGCGUUGUCCGGAUUUACUGGGUGUAAAGGGCGCGUAGGCGGCCUUCUAAGUCGAACGUGAAAUCCCUGGGCUCAACCCAGGAACUGCGUCCGAUACUGGAAGGCUUGAAUCCGGGAGAGGGAUGCGGAAUUCCAGGUGUAGCGGUGAAAUGCGUAGAUAUCUGGAGGAACACCGGUGGCGAAGGCGGCAUCCUGGACCGGUAUUGACGCUGAGGCGCGAAAGCCAGGGGAGCAAACGGG